CUCAGAAACACCACUGCGGUUUGAGCCUUCGUGUGUCUUCCUCCACUACUGAACAUAGCCGUUGCCAUAAGGCAGCUGAGCAGGCUUCCAGCCAGCCCUGUUUAUUUGCCCAGCGUCUAACACAUGAUUUCUGCAAUCGUGUAACUUUAAUCAAAUCUUCAGGAAGAACGUGAAGACCUAACGAGGGAAAAGCAGAGGCACAAUUUUCACUAUGACUCAGGUGCAAGGGAGUCAGAGGCAUCAGCCAGGCUGGGACAGGGGCAGGAGAUCCAAGGAAGCGUGUGCAAAGGAGAGAACGCUGAAGAGCAGAGGAACAUAUUCAUGGCAGGAAGAGGAUAGAGAAGAACUGGAAUACAAAUUGCACUGCAGAAUGUUUAGGAAGCUAACUCUCAGAAAAAGGAUACAAUUUUGACUACAUACUGAAGCAGUGAUGGAGCACACCUGUGCUGAAAGGAGCCACUGAAACUACCACCCACAGAAGUUUCAUCAGCAGAUAUAUUCCAUGUUUGAUUUCUUUCAUGUUUUUCAGGGGAGAUUGGUCUGAAGUCUAUUUAAAUUCAAGCUGUGCUAAACUAAACUCCCCCUGGUGCAACAACUUCUUUCUUGCACACGCCUCAAGCAGCCUUCACCUUCACAUGGGCACACCUGCCUUGUGCCCACACACAGCCUCAGUACAUGGGUCAGCCCAUGAGGCAGGAAACGCUGCUCCUCUGCUGCAGCUGCUCUGCUGACGUUAGACCUUGGAAGAUCAUGGUCACCAUGUGCUCAUUGCCCCAGCUCAGUUACGUGGUAAGCAGAAUUUCCCUCAUCUAUAGCAAUUCCUGACCUAGUCAGAACUUUUAGAAAGGAGGCAUGAAAGAAUGACGUGUCUACACCAACUCUUUCCAACUGUUUCUACAAAAUGUAUUACACUGAACAAAAUACUGUGCUCAGGUUGGUUGAGAAAAUGGUUCAUCACUCCCCCCCCCCCCCCCCCCUUCCCUAUUUGCAUCUCACAUGGUUUGUUGUUUAUUUUUUCCCAUUGUAAGGAAGACUUCUCUCAGUAGUGCCAAUAAAAUGGAAAAAAAUAAAUAAAUAAGGGAAAAAAUAAAAACAAAUGAAAAAGAAAAUGAUGACAUUUUUCACCUCAUGCAUGCCGAUUGAACGUAGAUAGAUUUGCACAUAUGAAUCCUGAAUGAGUGCUUGAUGUUUUCAGCUCUUCAGAAUGUUUUUCUUGCUUUCCUGAACUCUGACUCUGCCAUCCGAUGUUAUUGCAGAAGCUCUGACUGCCAGCAGGGCUGUGACACAGAUUUGAGUGCAUGAUUGCCCCAGUCUCAAGUGGAGUACUUGGCUUUAAUAUGAAAAAGAAAAUCCUUAAUAUGAUAAUACAUGUUAAUUAAACUAUGCACAACUCCUGUGGUAAGCACAAGGAAAAUCCUCUCCUACCUCCUCAGCAGAGCUCCAUAAGAAUGGAGCACCUUUUCACACUGGUGUCUUCAAUGGCAAGAGUCUCAUAUGUUUAACCUUUGAACUUCUAUUUUCACUCUAUAAGUGACUUCUUGUUACAAUGGAUUGGUUUCAUCUUAAAAUAAGAGGCAGAAAGAUAACUCCUUGAAUACAUUGAAUAAGGUACUGUAAGUUUGUUGUGAUAAGGAUCUGAGAUCAGUUGAUUGGCAUCUAACAUCAUAGAUUUAUUUAUAGCGUAUCAGGUGUGACAAUGACACAGAUGCAGAGUCUUGAAGGAGGUCACUUCCCAAAGAGACAGUUUAAUAAGGGCCACGAUUUCAGUGCCUGUGCUUGAGACUCCAAACUUCUCUCUCACAAAACCACUGCCUCUGUUGCAAUUUGUACAGGACAUCCAGCCUGUAAAAAGGUGUCUCAUUCCUCUUUUAGAGAAUUGCUUCAUGGUACCUACAGGACCUACUUGUGGCAUUUUUCACAGUGUUACCAUUCUCUGUCAAAGUGCAUAUAUAUGCAAGGUGCUGCGCUUCCAGUUCUGUGUCAGGCUGAGCUGUGAGCCCACCUGUGGCCUUAAUCUGGAUCUGAAGGAAUCAAAGGUUG
ensembl:lncRNA